CGAGCACACAGCCCGAAAAGCUACCCUAUUAAUUCAGUUUUUUAAGGACAAUAAAUGUAUCCUAUCUACAGUACCAGUCAAACAUUUGGACACACCUACUCAUUACUGUGUUUUUCUUUAUUUUUUACUAAGUUCAUUAGAGUCGGCAAUUAAAUGCACCUCAGACUGCAGCCCAAAUAAAUGCUUCAUAGAGUUCAAGUAUACACAUCGCAACAUCAACUGUUCAGAGGAGACUGAAUGAAUCACACCUUCAUGGUCAAAUUGCUGCAAAGAAACCCCUACUAAAGAACACCAAUAUGAAGAAGAUACUUACUUGGACUAAGAAACACGAGCAAAGGACAUUAGACUGGUGGAAAUCUGUCCUUUGUAAUAUUUUUGGUUCCAACCGCCGUGUCUUUGUGAGACGCAGAGUAGGUGAACGGAUGAUCUCCACAUGUGUGGUUCCCACCGUGAAGCAUGGAGGAGGACGUGUUAUGGUGUGGGGUGCUUUGCUGGUGACAUUGUCUGUGAUUUAUUUAGAAUUCAAGGCACACUUAACCAGCAUGGCUAACACAGCAUUCUGCAGCGAAACGCCAUCCCAUCUGGUUUGCGCUUUGUGGGACUAUCAUAUGUUUUUCAACAGGACAAUGACCCAAAACACACCUCCAGGCUGUGUAAGGACUAUUUGACCAAGAAGGAGAGUGAUGGAAGCACUCACAUUAAGGUCUACACCAGUUGUAUUCGGCGCAUGUUACAAAUUAAAUCUGAUUUGAUUUUGAUGGAGUGCUGCAUCAGAUGACCUGGCCUCUAGAAUAACCCAACCUCAACCCAAUUGAGAUGGUUUGGGAUGAGUUAAACUGCAGAGUGAAGGAAAAGCAGCUAACAAGUGCUCAGCAUAUGUGGGAACUCCUUCAAGAUGGUUGGAAAAGCAUUCCAGGUGACUACAUCAUGAAGCUGGCUGAGAGAAUGCCAAGAGUGUACAAACCUCUCAUCAAGGCAAAGGGUGGCUACUUUGAAAAAUCUCAAAUCUAUAAUAUAUUUUGAUUUGUUUAACUCUUUUUUUGCUUACUACAUGAUUUUGUAUGUGUUAUUUCAUGAUUUUGAUGUCUUCACUAUUAUUCUACAAUGAAUAAAAUAAAAACAAAAACUUGUGUCCAAACUUUUGAUUAGUACUGUAGGUUACAACCCAAUCUAUUAAAGAAUGUUAUUUUUUCCAAGUCAGUCGUUUUUCCAAAACCUGUCGUUGUGUGUCUUUUAUCUGUAGUUUAGCCUACAAGGUCCAGGGCCAGUGAUAUGGUCUCCGUGUCAUGAAUCCCGCUUCCUGAGUCUGUUUUCUGCCUGAGUUGCCUGUUUCUGUCUUGGAGUCUGUUUCUUGAGGUUCCUGAACGCACCCUGUCUGGUUGCCGGGCGACGAAGCUAGGCGGGAGAUCUCUCGAUUACCCGCACCUGCAUCUCAUCAGCUAUCUGCACACCUGGUCCUGAUCAUCACCUCUCCACUUCAUAAGCUCUGACCUGACAUCCAUUCCCUGCCGGAUCGUUAGCAAUGAACAUCAUUCUUCCGGAACAUUCACCCCACCCCUGCCUGGUCGUCGGUGGCUUCUGUGACAUCAUUGGAUCUGCCUAUUCACUCUCACCAACUCACCUCCGCUGCC
rnacentral:lncRNA from 1 species